AUUCGGUUCAUUAGCAUAUACAUGUACGGUUUCGGCGUCAGCACGCUGUCUCUACAUAGGCAUUUCGCGCCAUAAGCAUUGUGUUGUACGCUUGGCCAGUACCUCACGUGUUGUAGCUGCCGUUCAUCUACUUACUACACCCCCGCAAACUUGGCAAUAUUUCUUCAUUUAGAGCAUUAUAAACCAAGGUAACAUCACGUUAUUUAUCUGAACAUUUAGCUGCAUUUAUUGUGAGUACUAAUACGUGGAACUUUUGAAGAUAUCAUCAUGGUCAAGCAAAAGAAGGACCCAAAUAAGCCCCGUGGCCGCAUGUCUGCCUACGCGUACUUUGUACAGGAUCGGCGCAGUAAAGCUGAAGGGCAAGUGAAUUUCACCGCUUUCUCUAAGGAAUGUGCUGAUAGAUGGAAGCAUAUGGAUGAUGGAGACAAGCGGCCCUUCAACGAUAAAUCAGCUUCUGAUAAGAUCCGAUAUGACCGGGAGAUGUCGGGCUACGUCCCUCCGAUGAAAGAGAAGAAUGCAAAGGGUGGUCGACGCCGAGCCAAGAAAGAUCCAGAUGCACCAAAGAGGAAUCUGUCGGCGUUCUUCCUUUUCAGUCGAGACGAGAGAGGUGCCAUCAAGCAGGAACACAAAGAUUGGUCGGUUGGAAAGAUUGCACAAGCGCUUGCAGCCAUCUGGAAGACAAUAACCCCAGCAGACAAGGCCAAGUAUGACGCCGAAGCUGCACUAGAAAAGCAGCGUUAUAUGAGAGAGAUGGCAGCCUUCAAGGAAUCGAAGCCAAAGCAAGUGAAAAAGCAGCAGAGGAAGGAAUCAAGUAGCUCAAGUUCUUCAGACGACUCCACCUCAGAUGACUCAAGCUCUGAUUCCGACAGUGACGAAGAGUAAAGAGUGCACUAAACUAUUUCUAGGCCUAGUCUCAAUCGGACUGCCAUCUUAUAAAGUGCACCCUCAACCUUAUGAAGACCAUCCAACCUGAUGAUAUUGUUACCAAUUGUUGAUGAAGCUAACUGGUCAACAUUUUGCACCAUGUUUUUAGUAGCAGUCAAUUUGUAUCGAUCAGUAAUAUCAACAAGAAGUGUGAAAAUGAUGGACCUUUGAUAGAGAUAUUGCAUUUCUGACAUGAUAAAUGUUUUCUGUAUUCUAAAUUUCUAGAUCAAGAGCCAUGUUAAUGAAUCGAUGAAUGAAGAUGUUGCUCAGGCCAUCCUAAUUGAAAUUACGAAGUUGACGGUUUGGGUCUCCUUUUUAAUGAAUUUAACUUAAAAGGAUAUAAUUCUUCAUUCAACAUUUCAUGAAAUUAUGAAUAGACAUGUGCAAGCAAUGUUCGUUACCAUUCGUCCAUCAUUAUUCUGUCAAAAUAUGCUUGUGAAAUUCAGAAAUGUAAUCCCAUGACCAUGUUAUGAUGUAGCCUAAUUCCAUUUUCUGAAGUGUACGAUACAUUUUAGAUCAACAGAACAAUCUUGCAUAAAUCGACAGCUAAAAAUCGGGUUCAUUAAUUUAACAAUCAUAAAGUUGAUAGGGUGCAGAGUUGAUUUAGGAUACAAAAAUACUUCAAUCACUUUGCUUGUUAAUUAUGUCUAUGUCUCUGAGCAACGCUUGGCACAACCAACAAGUCCUUGUGUUUUGUAAGUAACAAUAGAAAGAAAUGUGUACAAAGUUCUGUAAAUAGUAGACUUGUGUGAACUAUUAUUCGCGCAAAGUGACAGGAAACCUGCAUAACGUUCUUACUGAUAAAUUAAGCCGAGGUUUUUAGUCAAGUUUUUGUAUUAAUGCUAUUGUAUGACGUACUUUACUCUUGUGAAAUAACAUUUACCACUGUAGUUAAAAAUAGAGAUUGUAUAAAAUUGCAUCUUUUUAUUAUUUUUUUAACAGUGCUGAUAUCAUUUCAUUGUCUUCAUUUAAAGGAAAUUCAAGCUAUGUAAUAUAAAAAUUUAGUGGUGUCCAAUUUUUGUAUAGGAAAUGCUGUCAGAAUGCAACUACGGGUAAUAGACACUAUUACAUAUUUGUUGACUGGAAAGUGAUUUGUCGAGUACCACUAGUUAAAACAUGCAUCAAAAUGAAAUUGCCUUUAAUUUUAGCUUCUGAAUGUUUUGGCAAAAUUCAUCUGCCCGAUCAUUAAACUGUUGGCUCGUAGCUUGUUCUGAAUUUAGCUACAACCCUAAAUAAGGUCUUCCACAUUUUUGACCGAGUAUCAGUCAUACAUUGUAAUACAGCCAUGCUCAAUGGCCUGAUGUGUUAUUAUUUUUUUGUUGUUGUAUCAGCAUAUUAUAGGAGUAACACCACAAGCUAUAUGUACUGUUUGUUUUAUGUGUGUACAAGUAACAUUAUAUGAUCCAUAAACGGAAAUAUGUGCCUAAGUCACUUGCUUACAUAUAUAUGUUUGAACUAAUGAAGCUUGGAUGAACUGUUCUGCAGAGGUGUAUAUUUUGCUGGAAAUUGAUGUGAUUUUUAAGGUGUUCUUCAAUUUGAAUUGUUAUAUGCCAGAAAUUGUCUGUUUUCAACUUAAUCAUCAAAACAUAGGUUUUUUAAAAGUACAUGUAUGUGUUCAUUCCAGUUUGAGAGUUAAUGUUUAAGAAAAAAAAAUGUUCUGAAAGGGUGUUUUACAUCAAAGAAUUUUAAAACAGUUCAACCCCAUACUCUAGCUAGUAUCGAAGACAGUUAAAGAGUAAUAUUGUAUCUGGUAUGAAGAUCAGUCUUUACGAUUUUCAUUUAGUGUUCCAUCAAUAGUAAUUCACAAAUGUUUGUAAAGCAUCCUUUGUUUUACCCUUUUCAUGUAUUUUUUUUUCUUCAUGAGGCAUGAUAAACCUUCAGUGUUGAUCUGUCAGUCAGUGUAUGUUAUAUUUUUCUGCAUCGUAAAUAAACAAUGUUUUUAAUUCAGAGAACAAUCA